rnacentral:misc_RNA from 1 species
AGUUAAACAGUACGUGAAAUUGUUGAAAGGGAAACGAUUGAAGCCAGUCGUACCUUCGGGUAAUCAGCCUUUCGGGUGUGAUUCUGUGGAGUGUGAGGAGCUUAAACACCUUCAUGUUUUGCAUAUUCGUACUCUUGGGUGUACUUGCCCGUGUGGUUGGUUAACAUCAAUUUUGGUGGUCAUAAAAUGACUGGAGGAAUGUAGCUUCGAUCUUGUAUUGAAGUGUUAUAGCCUUCGGUAGAUGUGAUGAUCGAGAUUGAGGAUUGCAACGGAUACCCUUCGGGGCUACCUGUCUGAUCUCUGAUCGUUGCUCUGGUGCCGAAAGCUUGCUUACGGUUAUCAAAGUCGAUGGUCAAUAGGUUAGAACGGGUUAAAUUCGUUAAGGAUGUUGACGUAAUGGCUUUAAA